AGGACGAACGCUGGCGGCGUGCUUAACACAUGCAAGUCGAGCGGUGAUCCUCCUUCGGGAGGUGAUCAGCGGCGAACGGGUGAGUAACACGUGGGCAACCUGCCCCUCACACUGGGAUAACCUCGGGAAACCGGGGCUAAUACCGGAUACGACCUCGAGCGGCAUCUCUUGAGGUGGAAAGCUCCGACGGUGAGGGAUGGGCCCGCGGCCUAUCAGCUUGUUGGUGGGGUAAUGGCCUACCAAGGCGACGACGGGUAGCCGGCCUGAGAGGGCGACCGGCCCACACUGGGACUGAGACACGGCCCAGACUCCUACGGGAGGCAGCAGUGGGGAAUAUUGCGCAAUGGGCGAAAAGCCUGACGCAGCGACGCCGCGUGAGGGAUGAAGGCCUUCGGGUUGUAAACCUCUUCAGCAGGGACGAAGCGAAAGUGACGGUACCUGCAGAAGAAGCACCGGCUAACUACGCGCCAGCAGCCGCGGUAA
rnacentral:rRNA from 1 species